rnacentral:rRNA from 1 species
UUCCUGUACUUGGUGUUACUGCGAAGGGGGGACGGAGAAGGCUAUGUUGGCCGGGCGACGGUUGUCCCGGUUUAAGCGUGUAGGCUGGUUUUCCAGGCAAAUCCGGAAAAUCAAGGCUGAGGCGUGAUGACGAGGCACUACGGUGCUGAAGCAACAAAUGCCCUGCUUCCAGGAAAAGCCUCUAAGCAUCAGGUAACAUCAAAUCGUACCCCAAACCGACACAGGUGGUCAGGUAGAGAAUACCAAGGCGCUUGAGAGAACUCGGGUGAAGGAACUAGGCAAAAUGGUGCCGUAACUUCGGGAGAAGGCACGCUGAUAUGUAGGUGAAGUCCCUCGCGGAUGGAGCUGAAAUCAGUCGAAGAUACCAGCUGGCUGCAACUGUUUAUUAAAAACACAGCACUGUGCAAACACGAAAGUGGACGUAUACGGUGUGACGCCUGCCCGGUGCCGGAAGGUUAAUUGAUGGGGUCAGCGCAAGCGAAGCUCUUGAUCGAAGCCCCGGUAAACGGCGGCCGUAACUAUAACGGUCCUAAGGUAGCGAAAUUCCUUGUCGGGUAAGUUCCGACCUGCACGAAUGGCGUAAUGAUGGCCAGGCUGUCUCCACCCGAGACUCAGUGAAAUUGAACUCGCUGUGAAGAUGCAGUGUACCCGCGGCAAGACGGAAAGACCCCGUGAACCUUUACUAUAGCUUGACACUGAACAUUGAGCCUUGAUGUGUAGGAUAGGUGGGAGGCUUUGAAGUGUGGACGCCAGUCUGCAUGGAGCCGACCUUGAAAUACCACCCUUUAAUGUUUGAUGUUCUAACGUUGACCCGUGAUCCGGGUUGCGGACAGUGUCUGGUGGGUAGUUUGACUGGGGCGGUCUCCUCCUAAAGAGUAACGGAGGAGCACGAAGGUUGGCUAAUCCUGGUCGGACAUCAGGAGGUUAGUGCAAUGGCAUAAGCCAGCUUGACUGCGAGCGUGACGGCGCGAGCAGGUGCGAAAGCAGGUCAUAGUGAUCCGGUGGUUCUGAAUGGAAGGGCCAUCGCUCAACGGAUAAAAGGUACUCCGGGGAUAACAGGCUGAUACCGCCCAAGAGUUCAUAUCGACGGCGGUGUUUGGCACCUCGAUGUCGGCUCAUCACAUCCUGGGGCUGAAGUAGGUCCCAAGGGUAUGGCUGUUCGCCAUUUAAAGUGGUACGCGAGCUGGGUUUAGAACGUCGUGAGACAGUUCGGUCCCUAUCUGCCGUGGGCGCUGGAGAACUGAGGGGGGCUGCUCCUAGUACGAGAGGACCGGAGUGGACGCAUCACUGGUGUUCGGGUUGUCAUGCCAAUGGCACUGCCCGGUAGCUAAAUGCGGAAGAGAUAAGUGCUGAAAGCAUCUAAGCACGAAACUUGCC